GUGCCUAACACAUGCAAGUCGAACGCGAAAGUGGAGCAAUCCAUGAGUAGAGUGGCAAACGGGUGAGUAACACGUGGGUGACCUGCCUUCGAGCGGGGGAUAACGUCCCGAAAGGGACGCUAAUACCGCAUAACAUCCUGCCUUUUAAGAGGUGGAGAUCAAAGCCUGGGAUCGCAAGACCUGGCACUUGAAGAGGGGCCCGCGCCUGAUUAGCUAGUUGGUGGGGUAAUGGCUCACCAAGGCAACGAUCAGUAUCCGGCCUGAGAGGGCGGACGGACACACUGGGACUGAGACACGGCCCAG
rnacentral:rRNA from 1 species